rnacentral:lncRNA from 1 species
GAGGAAAUUUGGCCAAAGAUAAAAUUGGAUAACAUUGAAGGUAGUAACCAAAGUAGUAGAAUUGGACAACAUUGAGGGUAGUAGCCAAAGUAGUAGAAUUUCCUUGGCAAAUCAGAAUCAACAAAUUAUCCAAUAUCACUCCAUACUAAAUUUUAUAAAGCAUAUGAGAUCUCAUCAUCUAAGUCGACACUUGAGAGGAUUUGGUCAGAGAUAAAAUUGGAUAACAUUGAAGGUAGUAACCAAAGUAGAAGGUAGUAACCAAAGUAGUGGAGAAUUGGAUAACAUUGAGGGUAGUAGCCAAAGUAGUAGAAUUUCCUUUGCAAAUCAGAAUCAACAAAUUAUCCAAUAUUACUCCAUACUAAAUUUUAUAAGGUAUAUGAGAUCUCAUCAUCUUAAGUCGACACUAGAGACGAUUUGGUCAGAGAUAAAAUUGGAUAACAUUGAAGGUAGUAACCAAAGUAGUAGAGAAUUGGAUGACAUUGAAGGUAGUAGCCAAAGUAGUAGAAUUUUCUUUCCAAAUCAGAAUCAACAAAUCAUCCAAUAUUUUCACUCCGUACAAGAUUUUAUAAGGCAUACGAGAUCCUCAUGCAGGGCUCUAAUAACCGAACUAUCUAAAAUCUGUCAUAGGCUAGACAAUCUGAUAAUGUAGGCACAUUGUAAAUCAUCAAGAGAAGUACAAAUUAAAAUUGUUCCAUUGUGUAAAAUGAUUGUAUCAGAAGUACCCACCAUAUGCCAUUUCCCAAAACAAGAACAAUAAUGACAAUAAAUCAACAGCACUA